rnacentral:rRNA from 1 species
AGAGCGAACGCUGGCGGCAGGCUUAACACAUGCAAGUCGAGCGGGCGUAGCAAGUACGUCAGCGGCAGACGGGUGAGUAACGCGUGGGAACGUACCUUUUGGUUCGGAACAACACAGGGAAACUUGUGCUAAUACCGGAUAAGCCCUUACGGGGAAAGAUUUAUCGCCAAAAGAUCGGCCCGCGUCUGAUUAGCUAGUUGGUGAGGUAACGGCUCACCAAGGCGACGAUCAGUAGCUGGUCUGAGAGGAUGAUCAGCCACAUUGGGACUGAGACACGGCCCAAACUCCUACGGGAGGCAGCAGUGGGGAAUAUUGGACAAUGGGCGCAAGCCUGAUCCAGCAAUGCCGCGUGAGUGAAGAAGGUCUUCGGAUUGUAAAGCUCUUUCGACGGGGACGAUGAUGACGGUACCCGUAGAAGAAGCCCCGGCUAACUUCGUGCCAGCAGCCGC